AUACAUACCUGGGCGGGGUCAAUUGGUGAUCAGGAAGGCCAAUGGCCUGGAAACAUCACCUCCAUUGCACUCAAAGGAGGGGGAUGUUUCUAGCAUCACCUUUUCGGGUGAGUGCACGUCAUAAUAUUUGGUAGUGGGGGCAUGCGUUCGCGCAGCCCCUAA